GGAGAUGGCCAUGCCACCCUGAACGUGCCUGAAGCUGAGCAGGAUUGGCCCUGGUUAGUACUUCGAUGGGAGACCACUUGGAAAUAUCAGGUGCUAUAGGCU
rnacentral:rRNA from 1 species